rnacentral:rRNA from 1 species
AUACGGAGGAUCCGAGCGUUAUCCGGAUUUAUUGGGUUUAAAGGGUGCGCAGGCGGCCAUUUAAGUCAGCGGUUAAAUCGUGGGGCUCAACCCCAUUCUGCCGUUGAUACUGGGUGGCUGGAUUGCGGUCGAGGUAGGCGGAAUUUGUUGUGUAUCGGGGCAAUGCAUAGAUAUGACGAAGAACACCGAUUUCGUAGGCAGCUGACCAGACCGCAAAUGACGCUCAUGCACGAAAGUGCGGGGAUCGAACAGGAUUAGAUACCCUGGUAGUCCGCACAGUAAACGAUGAAUACUUGUUUUCGGCGAUAUAAUGUCGGAGGCAAAGCGAAAGCGAUAAGUAUUCCACCUGGGGAGUACGCCGGCAACGGUGAAACUCAAAGGAAUUGACGGGG